GAUUAAGUUAUUAAGGGCGCACGGUGGAUGCCUUGGCACUAGAAGCCGAUGAAGGACGUUACUAACGACGAUAUGCUUUGGGGAGCUGUAAGUAAGCUUUGAUCCAGAGAUUUCCGAAUGGGGAAACCCAGCAUGAGUUAUGUCAUGUUAUCGAUAUGUGAAUACAUAGCAUAUCAGAAGGCACACCCGGAGAACUGAAACAUCUUAGUACCCGGAGGAAGAGAAAGAAAAUUCGAUUCCCUUAGUAGCGGCGAGCGAAACGGGAAGAGCCCAAACCAACAAGCUUGCUUGUUGGGGUUGUAGGACACUCUAUACGGAGUUACAAAGGACGACAUUAGACGAAUCAUCUGGAAAGAUGAAUCAAAGAAGGUAAUAAUCCUGUAGUCGAAAAUGUUGUCUCUCUUGAGUGGAUCCUGAGUACGACGGAGCACGUGAAAUUCCGUCGGAAUCUGGGAGGACCAUCUCCUAAGGCUAAAUACUCUCUAGUGACCGAUAGUGAACCAGUACCGUGAGGGAAAGGUGAAAAGCACCCCGGAAGGGGAGUGAAAUAGAACCUGAAACCGUGUGCUUACAAGUAGUCAGAGCCCGUUAAUGGGUGAUGGCGUGCCUUUUGUAGAAUGAACCGGCGAGUUACGAUUUGAUGCAAGGUUAAGCAGUAAAUGUGGAGCCGUAGCGAAAGCGAGUCUGAAUAGGGCGUUUAGUAUUUGGUCGUAGACCCGAAACCAGGUGAUCUACCCUUGGUCAGGUUGAAGUUCAGGUAACACUGAAUGGAGGACCGAACCGACUUACGUUGAAAAGUGAGCGGAUGAACUGAGGGUAGCGGAGAAAUUCCAAUCGAACCUGGAGAUAGCUGGUUCUCUCCGAAAUAGCUUUAGGGCUAGCCUCAAGUGAUGAUUAUUGGAGGUAGAGCACUGUUUGGACGAGGGGCCCCUCUCGGGUUACCGAAUUCAGACAAACUCCGAAUGCCAAUUAAUUUAACUUGGGAGUCAGAACAUGGGUGAUAAGGUCCGUGUUCGAAAGGGAAACAGCCCAGACCACCAGCUAAGGUCCCAAAAUAUAUGUUAAGUGGAAAAGGAUGUGGCGUUGCCCAGACAACUAGGAUGUUGGCUUAGAAGCAGCCAUCAUUUAAAGAGUGCGUAAUAGCUCACUAGUCGAGUGACACUGCGCCGAAAAUGUACCGGGGCUAAACAUAUUACCGAAGCUGUGGAUUGUCCUUUGGACAAUGGUAGGAGAGCGUUCUAAGGGCGUUGAAGCAUGAUCGUAAGGACAUGUGGAGCGCUUAGAAGUGAGAAUGCCGGUGUGAGUAGCGAAAGACGGGUGAGAAUCCCGUCCACCGAUUGACUAAGGUUUCCAGAGGAAGGCUCGUCCGCUCUGGGUUAGUCGGGUCCUAAGCUGAGGCCGACAGGCGUAGGCGAUGGAUAACAGGUUGAUAUUCCUGUACCACCUAUAAUCGUUUUAAUCGAUGGGGGGACGCAGUAGGAUAGGCGAAGCGUGCGAUUGGAUUGCACGUCUAAGCAGUAAGGCUGAGUAUUAGGCAAAUCCGGUACUCGUUAAGGCUGAGCUGUGAUGGGGAGAAGACAUUGAGUCUUCGAGUCGUUGAUUUCACACUGCCGAGAAAAGCCUCUAGAUAGAAAAUAGGUGCCCGUACCGCAAACCGACACAGGUAGUCAAGAUGAGAAUUCUAAGGUGAGCGAGCGAACUCUCGUUAAGGAACUCGGCAAAAUGACCCCGUAACUUCGGGAGAAGGGGUGCUCUUUAGGGUUAACGCCCAGAAGAGCCGCAGUGAAUAGGCUCAAGCGACUGUUUAUCAAAAACACAGGUCUCUGCUAAACCGUAAGGUGAUGUAUAGGGGCUGACGCCUGCCCGGUGCUGGAAGGUUAAGAGGAGUGGUUAGCUUCUGCGAAGCUACGAAUCGAAGCCCCAGUAAACGGCGGCCGUAACUAUAACGGUCCUAAGGUAGCGAAAUUCCUUGUCGGGUAAGUUCCGACCCGCACGAAAGGCGUAACGAUUUGGGCACUGUCUCAACGAGAGACUCGGUGAAAUCAUAGUACCUGUGAAGAUGCAGGUUACCCGCGACAGGACGGAAAGACCCCGUGGAGCUUUACUGUAGCCUGAUAUUGAAAUUCGGCACAGCUUGUACAGGAUAGGUAGGAGCCUUUGAAACGUGAGCGCUAGCUUACGUGGAGGCGCUGGUGGGAUACUACCCUAGCUGUGUUGGCUUUCUAACCCGCACCACUUAUCGUGGUGGGAGACAGUGUCAGGCGGGCAGUUUGACUGGGGCGGUCGCCUCCUAAAAGGUAACGGAGGCGCUCAAAGGUUCCCUCAGAAUGGUUGGAAAUCAUUCAUAGAGUGUAAAGGCAUAAGGGAGCUUGACUGCGAGACCUACAAGUCGAGCAGGGUCGAAAGACGGACUUAGUGAUCCGGUGGUUCCGCAUGGAAGGGCCAUCGCUCAACGGAUAAAAGCUACCCCGGGGAUAACAGGCUUAUCUCCCCCAAGAGUUCACAUCGACGGGGAGGUUUGGCACCUCGAUGUCGGCUCAUCGCAUCCUGGGGCUGUAGUCGGUCCCAAGGGUUGGGCUGUUCGCCCAUUAAAGCGGUACGCGAGCUGGGUUCAGAACGUCGUGAGACAGUUCGGUCCCUAUCCGUCGUGGGCGUAGGAAAUUUGAGAGGAGCUGUCCUUAGUACGAGAGGACCGGGAUGGACAUACCUCUGGUGUACCAGUUGUCGUGCCAACGGCAUAGCUGGGUAGCUAUGUGUGGACGGGAUAAGUGCUGAAAGCAUCUAAGCAUGAAGCCCCCCUCAAGAUGAGAUUUCCCAACUUCGGUUAUAAGAUCCCUCAAAGAUGAUGAGGUUAAUAGGUUCGAGGUGGAAGCAUGGUGACAUGUGGAGCUGACGAAUACUAAUCGAUCGAAGACUUAAUCAA
rnacentral:rRNA from 1 species